rnacentral:tRNA from 1 species
GCAGCAGUAGCUUAAAUCCCAGAGCGCCGGCCUUGUAAGCCGGACGGUAGGGGUGAAACUCCCCUCUGCUGCU